rnacentral:rRNA from 1 species
GGGCUCCUUCGGGAGCACCGGCGGACUGCUCAGUAACACGUGGACAACCUACCCUCGGGUGGGGGAUAACCUCGGGAAACUGAGGCUAAUACCCCAUAGGCCUCGGAUACUGGAAGGUUCCGAGACCGAAAGCUCCGGCGCCCGAGGAUGGGUCUGCGGCCUAUCAGGUAGUUGGUGGUGUAAAGGACCACCAAGCCUACGACGGGUACGGGCCCUGAGAGGGGGAGCCCGGAGAUGGACUCUGAGACGCGAGUCCAGGCCCUACGGGGCGCAGCAGGCGCGAAACCUUCGCAAUGCGCGAAAGCGCGACGAGGGGAGCCCGAGUGCCCUUCCUUUCGGGAGGGCUUUUCUGGAGCCUAAAAAGCUCCAGGAAUAAGGGCUGGGCAAGACGGGUGCCAGCCGCCGCGGUAAUACCCGCAGCUCGAGUGGUGACCACUAUUA